UCUUCUCUGGUUCUAUGAUUCUGUAAAAUAUGAAUAAUCUAGUUGUACAGCUCACAUCUUUCCAAAUUAAAUUCUGCAAGAGAAAGCAAAGCUUUUUGCCUCUUAGACUCACUAGAUUAAGACUUUUUAGGCUUGUGGAGGAUUGGAUGGAAUAGUUCCAGUUAAGACUAACAAGCCAAAAUUUAGAAAUAGCUGGAGCUAACCUUUGAUGAGAGAGGAAAGAAAGAGUCUCCUAAAGCAAGUUCCUAAAGAAUUCUCAUUUACGUAGAAGUACAUGAGAAGGCAAAAAUCUCUGAAAGUGAAAUAAAUUCAGGGCUUCUGAGAAGAAGCCCCAGAAGCACAGCACUGGAGGUGUUGGGCAAUGCAUGAAAAUGAGAUACAGAGAAGUAGGAGACAACUUUCACUACAUCAGUGUGUUUGCAUAACACAGUGAGACUGGCAAAGGGAAUUAUGCCUUCAUUUCCCAGUUUUAUGAGAGCCUGCAUGUGUGGAAUAAAGCUCUGGGAGAAGACAGCAAGGAGAGAAAGGAAGGUUUCCUGUAUUCCAGUUCUUGGCUUCCUGAGGUGCCUGUGGAUAACCCUUUGGUCUGCCCAGCAGAAAUCUGAAUGCUGAUGAGGGUUCAUGUUUUGGGAGAGAGCGCCAGCCAUGGGGGGCGUGCACUGGAAACCUCUCCAGCAUUUCAGCUGGAAAAGCUUCCAGAAGUUACUGCAUUUCUAAAGACAGUGGGAUCAAUGCUUUUCAGGAGUCCCGAUCCAAGUGAAACCUCGACUCACAGCAAGAGCUUUGUUUGUGUGACCAACUACCAAGAGGCUGGGGCUGCACCACGUCCACACGAGCAUUUUAAUUGUGAGCUCUUAAUGGUAACAGGAAAUGUGCAACAAAAGCUACACACUCCAUAAGGCCAGCAGCCCCUUGGGCUGCAUUCCCCCACUGUUCACAGCGUUCCGCUGCCCUUGCUCAUGCAUGGCCAGAAAAAAGGCAAUAUUUGGCAAUCAGGAGGUGGCAAAUCCAUUUUUUUCAUGUAAGCUUGGAAAGAAAUAGCUGUGUCACCCUUCAACAUUCCACAACUGAGCAGAGCUUAACUCCUGGCUCUGGGGCUCCCCAGGCAGCUGCAGCACCAGGGAAGGAGCGAGGCUGGAGCUGCACACACCAGCUCAGCUCUAAGGGACCUGCUGGGGCUCCCAGGCUGAAAUUGUAAAUAUAGACUGCUCCUAAUGAUCCCGCACCUCCCACCCCCUCCAUGAGCCUCUCAACAGCAUGAAAGAGAGGGAUAAAAAAGGGAUAAGGAAAGGUUGAGCCUGCCUGACCUCAGCGUUUUCUUGUUCAGCUUUUCAUUUCCUGAUUUGGAAUCUUUACCUGAGACACCUUGAGGUUUAGUGCUGUUUCUUUGGGCAAGAAGCAAUUGGAAUUGAUUUGUCCAUUUUGUGAUGUGCUUUUCUUUUUUGGAAAAGGAUAGAAGAGUUUCCAGUCUGAAUUUGCAAAUCUAUUUUUAAGCCUUGCUGCAAAUAAAAUGAAAGAACUUAAAUUUCCCUCAGCUGUUGUCAGCGAUAAAGCUGGGGGGUGAUUUUUCCUCCCUUUGUACAAAUGAAAUGUUAUUUCUCCUUCUCUUCACACGUGUAUAUUUAUAUAUAGAGUGAUAUAUUAUGGUUUUCUUUCAAGAACAAAAGGAUAUGGUGGAAAUCUGAACAACUGCAGAUUGAUAAAAACAGUGAGUCAGAGCAAACCUGGGCUGCUCUAAUUGCACUGGCACAAAUAUACUUUAAUGACCACAGGAUCAAAAAUACACCCCUUUAAUCAUUGCACAACUUUAUUAGCUCAUGCCCUGUUUUAGUUAAUGACUGCCUGAAUUAACAUUGCCCUUUUCUACCUGCUAUGAUACACUAAAAUGUUGUGGUUUUGUGAGCUGAUCUCAUCAGCAGAUAGUGCAGCUGUCCUGGGGGUGCUGCACAAUUGGAAAAAUUGAUAAAAUGCUCCACAUCACCAUUUAAACCAUAGAAAUAUAUCCAAUAAAAGGUGGUCUGGGUGCAGGAAAGGUGGGGAACCCAAGCCUGCAGAAUUUAUAAGCUGCUGCAAUUCAUGUGAAAUGAGUAAAAUAGGAUAUUUUUCCUUCAAGUUUUGUUGAUGACAAAGACAUGCACAGUAUGGUGUGCCCUGCUUUCAAACUGUGAUUUUAUCCAUUGGAUUCAGAUGGAAUGAACAGGAUACAUACUGGAACUAUGAUUAGAUACUGAUUUUUCAGGAUGUCUCACUUUUUUAAAAUUAUUUUUUAUUUAAACUUCUCUUGGAAGGCAGAAUUAUUUUAUUAUUUUCCUAAUGUAAAAAAUAUUACUGUGCCAUUCAAGUGACUUUCUGCUCCUGGCAUUCUUGGAAGCAACAUGCCAGUUACAGAUGUGAAAAGAGAACAAGAAAUUAAUGACAAAAAUCCUUGGUUUUUACCAGUGGAGGUGUCCCACUUAAAAUGCCAGUGGCAGAACUUGGACAACACUCUCAGGGAUGCACAGGGUGGGAUUGUUGGGGAGUCUGUGCAGAGCCAGGACUGAACUGUGGCUCCCUCCCAGCUCAGGAGAUUAUCUGAAAUAUCCUAUGAUUCUAUGAAAAGAAAUCCGUAUUUCUGAAGACUUUGUACUUUAUCACAGUUGCUUAGUCUGACCUUUCUCUAAUUUCUGUUCCCAUGGAUGUUUAAAAAAUAAUGGAAUAUGAUCUGAUUUUCAUGUUUCCUCAUAAUCUUAUUCUGAAAAGCAGCAUUUGCUGAAAUUUGCCAAGAUAAUUCAGUCUAAGCAUGGAUAUGGUAAGCAUGGAAAAACUGACUCUGACCAAUUAAAGCACAGAAAAAUAUUAGAAUGGAAAUGUAUGGAAUCGAGAGGAAAUAAAACAUCUUAAAAUGGAAAAUAGUGGGCGACUUUGGCAGCCUAGGUAAUUAAUCAUUUAAAUAGUGUUUUAAAACAAAACCCAGCAAAACAUACAUGAAAACCUCUGACAGUUUUCCAUAACCAAGUUUGUUUAUCAAGAUUUUGUACAGAAAUGACUUGAUGAAAAGUCAUUUGGGUUUGGGUUUUUAUUUUCUACUGAAAUGCUGCUAUUUGAUAUUUUAUUGCUUUAUAAGCUCACACACACUGCAGUGAAAUCAUGGAACCACAAGGAGUGGAGACAAGACAUGGAAUCAGCUCUUUUAGCACUGUUACUUCUCCUUGCUUUCAGGGAGUUUCUGAAGCUGUAAU